rnacentral:rRNA from 1 species
CAGUCGCCGCGGGAAUACGUAGGUGGCAAGCGUUGUCCGGAAUUAUUGGGCGUAAAGGGCUCGCAGGCGGUUUCUUAAGUCUGAUGUGAAAGCCCCCGGCUCAACCGGGGAGGGUCAUUGGAAACUGGGAAACUUGAGUGCAGAAGAGGAGAGUGGAAUUCCACGUGUAGCGGUGAAAUGCGUAGAGAUGCGGAGGAACACCAGUGGCGAAGGCGACUCUCUGGUCUGUAACUGACGCUGAGGAGCGAAAGCGUGGGGAGCGAACAGGAUUAGAUACCCGAGUAGUCCCUGUCUCUUAUAC